UGAAGUUAGCGGCGGACGGGUGAGUAACACGUGGGUAACCUGSCCAUAAGACUGGGAUAACUCCGGGAAACCGGGGCUAAUACCGGAUAACAUUUUGAACCGCAUGGUUCGAAAUUGAAAGGCGGCUUCGGCUGUCACUUAUGGAUGGACCCGCGUCGCAUUAGCUAGUUGGUGAGGUAACGGCUCACCAAGGCAACGAUGCGUAGCCGACCUGAGAGGGUGAUCGGCCACACUGGGACUGAGACACGGCCCAGACUCCUACGGGAGGCAGCAGUAGGGAAUCUUCCGCAAUGGACGAAAGUCUGACGGAGCAACGCCGCGUGAGUGAUGAAGGCUUUCGGGUCGUAAAACUCUGUUGUUAGGGAAGAACAAGUGCUAGUUGAAUAAGCUGGCACCUUGACGGUACCUAACCAGAAAGCCACGGCUAACUACGUGCCAGCAGCCGCGGUAAUACGUAGGUGGCAAGCGUUAUCCGGAAUUAUUGGGCGUAAAGCGCGCGCAGGUGGUUUCUUAAGUCUGAUGUGAAAGCCCACGGCUCAACCGUGGAGGGUCAUUGGAAACUGGGAGACUUGAGUGCAGAAGAGGAAAGUGGAAUUCCAUGUGUAGCGGUGAAAUGYGUAGAGAUAUGGAGGAACACCAGUGGCGAAAGCGACUUUCUGGUCUGUAACUGA
rnacentral:rRNA from 1 species